rnacentral:lncRNA from 1 species
GUGGCAUCCUCUUGAGGUUGGCCUCCGGGGUGGAGGCCCUGGCGGGGGAACCCCUUAGAGAGGAAUCGGGGGACUGGAGGCGGCAGAGAGACGGCAAAGACCGGUGCAGAGAACGCUCAGAGUCGGAAGGGGCACCGAUGGAGUGGCUGAGUGGCUAAGCACUCAGGCGAAAGAAAGAUGUCGUCCCUUAGGCGAAGUAAAGCCCCUGGAGGAAGGGUGGGGGGUUUAAAUAG